CCUACGGGAGGCAGCAGUAGGGAAUAUUGCUCAAUGGGCGAAACCCUGAAGCAGCAACGCCGCGUGGAGGAUGAAGGUUUUCGGAUUGUUAACUCCUUUUGUUAGAGAAGAUAAUGACGGUAUCUAACGAAUUAUCACCGUCUAAUACCGUUCCAGCAGCCGCGGUUAUACGGAGGCUGCAAGCGUUAUACGGAAUCACUGGGCGUAAAGAGGGUGUAGGCGGGUUAGCAAGUCAGAUGUGAAAUCCUAUGGCUUAACCAUAGAACUGCAUUUGAAACUGUUAUUCUAGAGUAUGUGAGAGGUAGGUGGAAUGCGUGGUGUAGGGGUAAAAUGCGUAGAGAUCAAGAGGAAUACUGAUUGCGAAGGCGACCUGCUAGGACAUAACUGACGCUGAUGCGCGAAAGCGUGGGGAGCAAACAGGAUUAGAUACCCCUGUAGUC
rnacentral:rRNA from 1 species